rnacentral:tRNA from 1 species
GGGGAUAUAGCUAAGUUGGAAGAGUGUUUUCUUAGCAUGCAUAAGGCCCUGGGUUUAAUCCCUAGUACCCCCC